AAAUAGCAGUUAAAAGGAUUAACAAUGUGCAACGAAAUUUGUCGAAUUAACCCUUUAACUUUUAAUUUUACCUAUUCUCUACUCUAAACACGUGGGAUAAUUGUGUCCAUAUUUCCAAGAUCCCUUUUACUGAUCAAAAGCUUGCAACCCCAAAUCUCAAAUCCCUCUUUAACAGUGGCGGUAAUCUUUUCAAAUUUUCUUUGUUUCAAUUUCAUCCUUCAUCAGUGUUAGUCAUUUCUCGUACUGAUCAAAAACUUGCAAUCCCACAUUUCAAAUCUCUCUUAAACAGUGGCGGUAAUCUUUUCAAUUUCUCUUUACUUUAAUAUAGUUCUUCAUCAGUAUUAUUCAUAGAGCUCCCCAUCUUUCUCAUCAUAAUUUUCUAAUUUUUUUAUGAAUCUUUUAUAUUUUAAGACUAUAGGAACCGAUACUACCUUAAAGGUAGUCUUUGAUUUGUAAAAGUUUAUAUUGGUAGUUUGCAAGUCAUUUUUAUGGCUUCUUUAAUUCUUAUCGUUUCAUGUUUCUUCAGUUUGAUAUUUGCUAGAGAUUCGGGAAUAUGAAAUAACUAUUUAAAGUAAAGUUAUUUCAUGAGUUCAUUUUUAUUGUUUUGCUACUUACCGAGCACUUAUAAAAUAAGUGUAUUCUUUUGGUGAACGCACACAUCACAUGGUAGUACAAAUAGCAUCCUAAAUUUAUUCCAGAGAAUAUUGAUUUCCUAUCUUGAUGUUAUCACUGAAAUUCACUUGACAUUUUAAUUUUUAGGUGUCAUUAGGAGUUUAAUUUCUCAUAGUUUUAUAGGUUUUUUGUUUGUUUAUUGACCUGUAGUAUCAUACCUUUAUAUCCUGAUUUAUGUUAGUUUUCAAGGUAACAUACUCUGUGUGGAACAUGUUCUUCAUGAAUUUAUAAUCUUGAAAGUCUUUGGACUAAUUAAGGUAGGACUUUGUGGGAAAGUAGAUUCUUGGGUGAUACCCGUGCAAUGCACGCUCCCAACAAAUUGAGUUUUUAUAUGUUACUAUCCACCAAACACAAGCACGCGCGCACGCGCACACACAUUUAUUUCACACCAUAAAUGUACUACAUUAUUUUUUUUAAAAAAAAUACUACAUGUAGCUUUGAAGCAAUAUCCAAGAGAAUCACCAUGCCAUCACUUAAUUAUUGACGAAAAAUGCAUGUAUCUCAGAUGUAAAAUCAGAUGUAAUAUUAUGUGAGUGAUCUGAAUGUCAUGUAAAAGAAACAUCGCUAGGAUUCUCUAAUGUUGUUAGUUGUGUUUUCAAGGUUGUGCUCUUACUUUUUAAUCAAUAGUUUGCUCUUAGUCCAUGUUGGCAUGCCUUUUGUUCUUGUUGUAACAAACCUAAAAAUGGAAAUACUAAGUGAUACUUAAUGUGUCAAGAAUGCCUAUGAUUAGAUCAGGGUUCACACGAAUUGAUGCCCGUAGAACCAGACUCUCAAACCCUUGCUACAUCCAAUCCAACUAACCUGAGGAGUUAGUUGAGCUAGGAAAGGUUGGGUCCAACCAUGUAAGGCUCUCGAAUACAAAGAUUUACUCAAAGGAGUCUUUACCGGACCUAAAAAGAGAAAAUCUUAGGUUUGGAGGGUCUAGGGCUAAAAUGAUAUUUUUCUAGGCUAAGGGUAAUAAAGUAAUUAUCCUAAAUAUAUAAUUAAUUAUUUAAUUAAUAAGGUGAAGGGGAAAUUUGGGGAGAGAGAACCGAAAUUGAGCUCUUGAAGUGAAGUCUUGCUUCACCCGGGUUCAAACCUAGGUGGAAACAAUGAAUUAAUGUGAUUUUUAUUCAAGCUAUUGAAUUAAUAUAAUUAAUUAUUAUUAUUCAUUAGAUGAUUUAAAAUAAAAUAAAAAUCAGAUUUUUAAUAAUUAAGUAAACCUUAUUUGACUAAGUCCUAAACUAGACUCCUAAGCCUAAUAAAGCCCCUACUCUCUCACGUCUAUCUCUCAACUCUCACGCUCAAUCUCCCUUGUUAUUUCAUACGAAAUUCUCUAUCAAAAUAAAAUACAAAAGCAGAAAAAUAAAUCAAGUUCUUCACACUUGAAGAACUCACACAAAAUCAAAAGGAAACAAACGUUAAAUCGCACACUAGGCUAAAGGAGGUUGUCAUUGGAGUUAUGGUUGUGUUGUUACGUGCACAAACUUAUAUAAAUCGAUAUGUUAAUAAGUAAUGUAAAUAUUAUGAUUUGAGUGCAAUUCUUUACUGAAUGAAAUUUUGAAAAUGCACCUAAAGAACUCACUACAAAACUACUUAAAACGUCUAAACAUUUAAUUUGAAUGAAGUGAGAAAAUAGGCUGCAAAAAUUUCCAGCAGCUUGUUAAUGAGUUUCGGCCAAACUAAGGAGAAUUUCAUGCUAUGAAACAAUGAACUAAAAUAUGUGAGAUCACUAAGGAUUGAACCCGUGACCUCACCAUGUUGAAAAUCAAUGAAAAAAGGAGAGAAAAAGGGAAUGUGGCAUGUGGGACUCGAACCUAUAACCUUGGCUGGAAAAUGAAAAAUAAAAAGAAAAGAAAUGAGAGGAGUGAUAUUCGAACCCACAACCUCUCAGACAGUAAAGGAGAAAGUAAAAAAUGAAAAAGAAAAGAAAUGAGAGGAGUGGUAUUCCAACCCACAACCUCUCAAGCAGUAAAGGAGAAAGGAAAAAUGAAAAUAUUAGGAAUGUGAGGAGUGGGAUUCGAACCCACGACCUCUUAGGAAGAUUUAAGGAGAAUUAAAAAUGCAAAUAAAAGAAAUGUGAGGCGUGGGAAUUGAACUCACGACCUCUAGGCAGUAAAUGAGAAUUACAAUAAAAUGAUAAAGUGAGGUUGUGGGGAUUUGAUCCCACAACCUCAUUGUCAAUGCGAGAUAGUCAAGGAGAAAUAAAUAAAGAAAUAAAAGGGGUUGUGGGAGUUAGAACCCACAAACCCUCGGCCAAAGGAGAGAAUUUCUAAAGAAAAGUAACUAAAAAGAAAUGUUGAUGUUGGGGCUCGAUCUAGGGUCCCAAUGUCAUGAGGACUAAAAAUAAGUGAACCUAAGAUGUAUGCAAUGAAAUGAUGAAACCCUAGAAGGGUUAAGCAUGAGUAUAAGAUACACAAAAUCGCCAAGUGCAUUGGCAUAUGGCGAAAUGAACAAUGAAAUGAUGAAAUGAACAAUGAAACAAUAAAACCCUAGAAGGUUUAAGUAAGAGCGUGAAACACACAAAUGGCCAAGUGCAUUGGCAUAUGAUGAAAUAAAUAUUUACGUAAAAGAGGUGAGUAAUUAUGAAGAGCAAAUGUGCUAAUGUUAGUAAAUGUGGUGACAACAUGAUAUGAGGCUAAUGGAAAAUAUGAGAGCAAUCUCAAAUGAGCCUAAGUAAAUGUUACCAAAACGUACUCACCUAUGAGAGUGUAAAGUUAAUGAAGAGACCAGUCUCUAUGAACAUUCUAAUGAAAGUAUUGAGAUUAACACACUUAAUACUAAUGCUUAGAUGACAAAUCAUCUAUUGAGCUAUGAUGUCCUCAUACUAGAAGCCAUUUUGCAUGACGUAUGAGUUGAAUGUAAUGGAACUUUAUACUGAGCACCAAUAGACUAGCUAUGAGCGGUGAUGCCUUUUUUCGGGAAGGACGGAGGUUCACGUAACUCUACUGAGAUAAGACUGUCAGGCAUGCCGGGUAUGGGUCUCAUUAUAUCUCUUAGUCUUCGAACCUAUAUUGCCAAUAUGGGGAUCUGGCGGGGUUCAAUUCCCAUGUACGCAAUCAUAUUUUAGGUCACUUUAGCCGGUGAUUCCACCUCUUUUUGGUGUGGAGUUUGAUGACACUAAAUUUCAUAAUGCUCACAUGAUCUAUGUCGGUUAAAGUUAAAGUUCCCAAAGAAUGAAUGAGGUCAGCCUCAAAUGAUGCACAUAAUGAAAUGAACGAUACCAAAUGUGUAAGGAUAGGAUAAUCAACAGGUGAGCUAGACUCAAGUAAUGAAACUAGGUUAUUCUUGAUCAUUGCACAACAAACCCGAUGAAAGUCUUAAACUAUAUCCUAGGUAUAAAUGGUGUUCACACUAGCCUAUGAACGAAAUGAGAUGAAGUACGUAUAAAUGAAUGAAGCAGACUCUAUUUUUGCUAAAGAAGGCUCCCUAGUUGAGGUCCCAUAUGUUGAGCCCUCAUUUUGAGAAGUCCUAACGUCAAGUCCAUGAUCAUAAGGUCUCAUGGCAUAUGAAAGAACGAUAUGAACUACGUGAUAUGAUAUGUGAAAUAUGUUAUGUGUUGUUUGCAAAAUGAUAAGUUUAAUGAUGCAUGUUACACUCAUUGCAUGACUUUCCAAAUCCAAAUUUGGCAGGUCCAUUCACAUUCCUAAUCCAAAUUUGACAAGUCCACUGACUUGACUUUCCAUAAAUCAUGUUGUUAGGAAAGAGCUAUUCCUUCUCAGGCAUGUCCUUGGUGUGUGCUUGCAUAUACCCAUACUUAGUACAAGUGUGUACUAAUCCCAUACUACUAUAUACUUUUAGGUGUAUGCACAGGUGGAAGCUAGAGCUUACAGGUUGACGUUGCCACUAUUCGGACGUGGAGCUUUCAUCCGAACUUGUUAGGCCCUCAUGCUUUCGAGGAUUCUACCGUUAUUAUCUAGCUUAGAUGUAGGCUUUAGCUAGUGGAGCAUGUUCCACUAGUGUUUCUUUCCACUUUCAUUUCGUACUUUGUAUUGGUGUCGUUUUGGCAAAAGUACGUUUAACGCAAUUAUGAACUAUUUUUUUCAUUUGAUUAUCACUAUAUUAGAUGGUUGAUUUGUGAAAGCCUAUAAUGUUAAUUGGAAUAUGUUUAACAUGAAGUAAGAAGACAAAAAGGUCAAAUUUUCCACUAAAAUUAACCUAGAUGAAGUAAGAAUGACGUAUGUAGGCUUGUCUGCGACCUCUAAGAGGUCAACGACGCCGGUCUCAUCUGGGGUCUAGAUUUCGGUCAUUCGGUCUUGACAAAGUUUGUAUUAAAGCGCUAGGUUAAAUUCUGAGGAUAAUAAGUUCACAUAAACCACAUUGAGUAGUUCAUAAGUCAUGGUAGUGAAGUGCACCACUAUCCUGAAUAAGAGACUGCAUGAUGCAUAGGAAAAUUUUCCAUCUUCUAAUCUUACCAUGCCUUUCCUAAUGUUUGAAUUUCAUGAUGUUAUGAGCGUGUCUAAAAUAAAUCCUUGUUGUUUACAGAGAAUGAACACUAGGAGAACUAUUGGUCAGAGGAGCAAAGUAUCUGCUGCUAGAGACAAUCAAGUUCCAGCCUAGGCUCCAGCUGAAGGAGUAGCCAUGUCAGCUAACCCUGCUGGGUUGACUGAUGCUGAGGUGAGGGCAUAUCUAGCCCAGAUGGAACAGACCAUCACCAUGCAAGAUCAAGCCAUGACUGACCAGGUCAAUCGGCGAAAAUGUCCAGAGAGAGAAUCCACCGGUUUGCAGUAUGGCUGAUAGAUUGAGGGAUUUCACGAGGAUGAAUCCUCCUAUUUUCAUAGGGUCUAACACUUCAGAGGAUCCCCAGGAGUUUGUGGAUGAGGUUCAUAAGAUUUUGGUGGCUAUGGGGGCCACAGAUACUGAUAAAGUAGAGUUGGCUUCCUAUAACUGAAGGAUGUUGCACAAACUUGGUGCAAGAUGUGGCAGGAUAGCCGAGCGUUGGGCGAAGUUUCAAUCACUUGGGAGUUAUUUAAGACAUCUUUCCUGGAGAUAUGUUUCCCUAGGGAGAUGAGGGAGGCCAAGGUUGAGGAGUAUAUCAACCUUAGACAGGGAUCGAUGACAGUCACAGAGUAUUCUCUGAAGUUUGUGAAAUUAUCCAGGUAUGCCACUUCUCUUGUGUCUAACAGCAGAGACGAGAUGAGUAGAUUCUUGGCAGGAAUUGCUAAGGAUAUCGAGAAAAAGAGUAGGGCGGCUAUGCUGCAUGACAACAUGGACCUUUCCAGGCUUAUGGUCCAUGUUAAGUAAGUGGAGGAAAGCAGAAAGAGGAAACACCCUAGGGUAGGGAACAGGUCAAGGCAAGCUGAGGAGAAUUUGUCAAGAAAGAGUAGUACUAAAAUCAGGGAUAAGCCCAGGUUUAAGAAGGGACUCUUCCACCAAGGGGAGUCAAGUACAUCUAAGGGUCGCCAUGAUAUGAAUUCCGAGUCCAGAGUUAAGAGAAACAAUGAAGUAGAUACACCUUAGGUGAGACCACCUUGCAGGAAGUGUGGCAAACUACAUGGAGGAGAGUGUAUGAUGGGAACUAAUUCUUGAUAUAGUUGUGUUAAACCGGGUCACAUGGUGAAGGAUUGUCCUAUUAGGAGAAGUCAAGAACAAGGGAAGGAGAGAGUUCAUUCUAAUGGUCCAAGUGAAGAGGCUACAAGGAGGCAAUGAUUCUUUACACUCAAGUCUAGGGGUGCAGGGGAAGGCACUUCUGGUGAAGUCUCGGGUGAGUUACCUUAAUUAGUCCUUCAUGUAUUUGACUGUGUAUGGUGUUUAUGCACUAGUAUGAGGUUAAUAUGUUUGAGUCAUCAUGUUGGUUGCUGAUUUGUAUGACUUUUAUGUAUCUUAUAUUCUAUGCUUUGAUGAGACUAGUUUAGGAAAGAGUUCCUCAGUCUAUUAAUGUGAAACUACUGGUAGUUUUCAAGGAUGUGCACUAUCAUGUUAAUAUGUGAAUCAUACAUUCAACAAUGGGGAGUAUUGAAUUACCUAUGUAUGCAUACGUCCUACAGAUGACUUACUUAUUGUUAGUAAAGAGUAGUGUCAUUCAGGGACGAAUGUUUCUAAGGGGGGGGGGGGGGAAUGUAAUAACCCUAAAAAUGGAUAUAUUAAGUGAUACUUAAUGUGUCAAGAAUGCCUAUGAUUAGACCAGGGUUCACACGGAUUGAUGCGCGUAGAACUAGACUUCGGAACCCUUUCUACAUCCAAGCCAACUAACUUGGGGAGUUAGUUGAGCUAGGUUAGGUUGGGACCAACCAUGUAUGGCUUUCGACUACGAAGAUUUACUCGAAGGAGUCUUUAUCGGACUUAAAAAGAGGAAAUCUUAGGUUUGGAGGGUCUAGGGGUAAAAUAGUCUUUUUCCAUGAUAAGGGUAGUAUUGUAAUUAUUCUAAAUAUAUAAUUAAUUAUUUAAUUAAUAAAGUGGAGGGGAAAUUUGGGAAGAGAGAGUCGAAUUGAGCUCUUGAAGUGAAGUCUUGCUUCACCCCGUUCGAACCUAGGUGGAAGCAAUGAAUUAAUGUGAUUUUUAUUUUAGCUAUUAAAUUAAUAUAAUUAAUUAAUUAUUAUUAUUCAUUAUCUGAUUUAAAAUAAAAUAAAUUUUAGUUUUUUAAUAAUUAAGUAAACCUUAUUUGACUAAGUCCUAAACUAGACUCCUAAGCCUAAUAAAACCCCUACUCUCUCACGUCUAUCUCUUAACUCUCACGCUCAAUCUCCCUUGUUAUUUCACAUGAAAUUCUCUUCCAAAAUAAGAUACAAAAGCAUAAAAAUAAACCAAGUUCUUCACACUUGAAGAACUCACACGAAAUCACAAGAAAACAAACGUUAAUCGCAUACUAGGCUAAGGGAGGUUGUCAUUCGAGUGGAGUUGACAUUGAGGAGGCCUAGACGUGUUCUUGGGAGGAGUUUUUGGGCAACAAGUCAAGGGUUUAUAUGGGUUCUCUUCUCUCUUUGUCCCUUUCCCAAGAGACCCCUUAAGAUUCAGUCAAAUCUAAUCUGAAAACUAGGAUUGUUUCCGUUGCAUGUCCCUGUCACUAGCUCCCAUUGAUUCGUAGGUUGGGUAUGUUUACUUGUAGAUAUUAGACAUGUAAUGUGUUUUUGUAUUGAAUAUGUUCAUGAAUGUUGUUUGGAAUCGUAUGAAUGACAAUCUAUGUUUUUAUGAAAAGAAUUGUACGUGUGUACAAUGUAGCCGUGACUCCUUUGGUUUGAGGUUCAAAAAUAACAUGUUAUGAUUGUGUUCUUACGUGCACAAACUUAUAUAAAUUGUGAUGUUCAUAAGGUGAUGUAAAUAUGCUGAUUUGAGUGAAAUUCUUUAUUGAAUGAAAUCUUGAAAAUGCACCUAAAUAACUCACCAAAAAACUAAUUAAAACGUCUAAACAAUUAAUGUGAAAGAAGUGAGAAAAUAGGCUGCAAAAAUUUCAAGCAGCUUGUUAAUGAGUUUCGGCCAAGCUAAGGAGAAUUUUAUGCUAUGAAACAAUGAACUAAAAUAUGUGAGAUUACUGGGGAUUGAACCCGUGACCUGACCGUGUUGAAAAUCAAUGAAAAAGGGUGAGAAAAAUGGAAUGUAGCAUGUGGGACUCGAACGUAUGACCUUGGAUGGAAAAUGAAAAAUGAAAAGAAAAGAAAUGAGAGGAGUGGGAUUCGAACCCACAACCUCUUAGACAGUAAAGGAGAAAGGAAAAAAUGAAAAAGAAAAGAAAUGAGAGAAGUGGGAUUCGAACCCACAACCUCUCAAGCAGUAAAGGAGAAAGGAAAAAUGAAAAGAAAAGGAAUGUGAGGCAUUAGAUUCGAACCCACGACCUCUUAGGCAGAUUUAAAAAGAAUUAAAAAUGCAAAUAAAAGAAAUGUGAGGCGUGGGAAUUGAACCCACGACCUCUAGGCAGUAAAGGAGAAUUACAAUAAAAAAUAAAGUGAGGCUGUGGGAGUUUGAUCCCACAACCUCAUGUGAAUGCGAGAUAGUCAAGGAGAAAUACAUAAAGAAAUAAAAGGGGUUGUGGGGGUUCGAACCCACAACCCCUCUGCCAAAAGAAAGAAUUUAUAAAGAAAAGUAACUAAAAAGAAAUGUUGAUGUUGGGGUUUGAUCUAGGGUCGCAAUGUCAUAAGGACUAAAAAUAAAAUCAAGGAAAAAUGUAAGUGUUAUCCAAGGGAUUCGAACUUGGGUUCCUUUACCCAAAUUUCCGUAUUAAUACAUAAAUCAUACGUGAAUUAAAUAUUCAAGAAUAAUGCCACCUACUUAGAUCAAAAUCAAGAUCUUGGCAUACAUACAAGAUACAUAAGUCUUGUACUACAUAAUCUUAUGAAGAUAUGAGUCACUUAACAAACUAUGAAUGAAGCCUCAUGGCUUGUAUGUAUAGACCCAUAAGUCUAGCAUACGAUUAAAAAUAAGCGAACCUAAGAUGUAUAUAAUGAAAUGAUGAAACCCUAGAAGGGUUAUGCACGAGUGUAAGAUAAACUAAAUAUCCAAGUGCAUUGACAUAUGACGAAAUGAACAAUGAAACCAUAGAAGGGUUAAGUAAGAGUGUGAAACACACAAAUGGCCAAGUGCAUUGUCAUAUGAUGAAAUGAACAUUCACGUAAAAAGAGGUGAGUAAUUAUGAAGAGAAAAUGUGCUAAUGUUAAUGAAUGUGGUGACAACAUGAUAUGAGGCUAAUGGAAAAUAUGAGAGCAGAUCUCAAAUGAGGCUAAGUAAAUUUUACCAAAACGUACUCACCUAUGAGAGUGUAAAGUUAAUGAAGAGACCAGUCUCUAUGAACAUUCUAAUGAAAGUAUUGAGAUUAACACACUUAAUACUAAUGCUUAGAUGACAAAUCAUCUAUUGAGCUAUGAUGUCCUCAUACUAGAAGUCAUUUUGCAUGACGUAUGAGUUGAAUGUAAUGAAACUUUAUACUGAGCACCAAUAGACUAGCUAUGAGCGGUGAUGCCUUUUUUCGGGAAGGACGGAGGUUCACAUAACUCUACUGAGAUAAGACUGUUAGGCAUGCCGGGUAUGGGUCUCAUUAUAUCUCUUAGUCUUCGAACCUAUAUUGCCAAUAUGGGGAUCUGGCGGGGUUCAAUUCCCAUGUACGCAAUCAUAUUUUAGGUCACUUUAGCCGGUGAUUCCACCUCUUUUUGGUGUGGAGUUUGAUGACACUAAAUUUCAUAAUGCUCACAUGAUCUAUGUCGGUUAAAGUUAAAGUUCCCAAAGAAUGAAUGAGGUCAGCCUCAAAUGAUGCACAUAAUGAAAUGAACGAUACCAAAUGUGUAAGGAUAGGAUAAUCAACAGGUGAGCUAGACUCAAGUAAUGAAACUAGGUUAUUCUUGAUCAUUGCACAACAAACCCGAUGAAAGUCUUAAACUAUAUCCUAGGUAUAAAUGGUGUUCACACUAGCCUAUGAACGAAAUGAGAUGAAGUACGUAUAAAUGAAUGAAGCAGACUCUAUGUUUGCUAAAGAAGGCUCCCUAGUUGAGGUCUCAUAUGUUGAGCCCUCAUUUUGAGAAGUCCUAACGUCAAGUCCAUGAUCAUAAGGUCUCAUGGCAUAUGAAAGAACGAUAUAAACUACGUGAUAUGAUAUGUGAAAUAUGUUAUGCGUUGUUUGCAAAAUGAUAAGUUUAAUGAUGCAUAAUACACUCAUUGCAUGACUUUCCAAAUCCAAAUUCGGCAGGUCCAUUCACUUUCCUAAUCCAAAUUUGACAAGUCCACUGACUUGACUUUCCAUAAAUCAUGUUGUUAGGAAAGAGCUAUUCCUUCUCAGACAUGUCCUUGGUGUGUGCUUGCAUAUACCCAUAUUUAGUACAAGUGUGUACUAGUCCCAUACUACUAUAUACUUUUAGGUGUAUGCACAGGUGGAAGCUAGAGCUUACAGGUUGACGUUGCCACUAUUCGGACGUGGAGCUUUCAUCCGAACUUGUUAGGCCCUCAUGCUUUCGAGGAUUCUACCGUUAUUAUCUAGCUUAGAUGUAGGCUUUAGCUAGUGGAGCAUGUUCCACUAGUGUUUCUUUCCACUUUCAUUUCGUACUUUGUAUUGGUGUCGUUUUGGCAAAAGUACGUUUAAC
rnacentral:lncRNA from 1 species